rfam:Picea glauca, whole genome shotgun sequence.
AUGUAAAUUCCUACAACAUUAAUGCACCGGAUCCCAUUAUAACUCCGCAGUUAAGAACACUUGGGAUAUAUUAGUAUUGGUAUAGGUGACCUCCCAGGAAUUCCUAGCAUUUUACAUG